GACGAACGCUGGCGGCGUGCUUAACACAUGCAAGUCGAACGGAAAGGCCCUGCUUUUGUGGGGUGCUCGAGUGGCGAACGGGUGAGUAACACGUGAGUAACCUGCCCUUGACUUUGGGAUAACUUCAGGAAACUGGGGCUAAUACCGGAUAGGAGCUCCUGCUGCAUGGUGGGGGUUGGAAAGUUUCGGCGGUUGGGGAUGGACUCGCGGCUUAUCAGCUUGUUGGUGGGGUAGUGGCUUACCAAGGCUUUGACGGGUAGCCGGCCUGAGAGGGUGACCGGCCACAUUGGGACUGAGAUACGGCCCAGACGCCUACGGGAGGCAGCAGUGGGGAAUAUUGCACAAUGGGCGGAAGCCUGAUGCAGCAACGCCGCGUGCGGGAUGACGGCCUUCGGGUUGCAAACCGCUUUCGCCUGUGACGAAGCGUGAGUGACGGUAAUGGGUAAAGAAGCACCGGCUAACUACGUG
rnacentral:rRNA from 1 species